rnacentral:rRNA from 1 species
UACAGAGGGUGCGAGCGUUAAUCGGAAUUACUGGGCGUAAAGCGUGCGUAGACGGUUUCGUAAGUCGGGUGUGAAAGCCCCGGGCUCAACCUGGGAAUUGCAUUCGAGACUGCGUAGCUAGGGUGCGGAAGAGGGAAGCGGAAUUUCCGGUGUAGCGGUGAAAUGCGUAGAGAUGUGGAGGAACACCAGUGGCGAAGGCGGCUUUCUGGUCUGUAACUGACGCUGAGGCGCGAAAGCGUGGGGAGCAAACAGG